GUUUGAUCCUAGCUCAGAACGAACGCUGGCGGUGCUCCUUACACAUGCAAGUCGAGCGAAGUUAAUAACUUAGCGGCAAAACGGGUGAGUAAUACAUAGGAAAGUGCAUUUUAAUUUGGGAUAGCUUUUGGAAACGAAAAUUAAUACCGAAUAAAUUACGAAAGUAAAAAGAAGAAAUUCGUUAAAAUAUCUGCCUAUGUCAGGAUUUGUUGUUGGUGGGGUAAUGGCCUACCAAGCUUAUAUUCUGUAGUUGGUCUGAGAGGAUGAUCAGCCACAUUGGGACUGAGAUACGGCCCAAACUCCUUCGGGAGGCAGCAGUGGGGAAUAUUGGACAAUGGAGGAAACUCUGAUCCAGAGACACCGCGUGAGUGAAGAAUGCCUUAAUUGGUUGUAAAGCUCUUUUAGUAAAAGAAAUGAUGAUUUUUUACUAGAAAAAGUAACCGGCUAACUACUGUGCCAGCAGCCGCGGUAAUACAGAGGGUACGAGCG
rnacentral:rRNA from 1 species